rnacentral:rRNA from 1 species
GAUGAACGCUGGCGGCGUGCCUAAUACAUGCAAGUCGAGCGAACAGACGAGGAGCUUGCUCCUCUGACGUUAGCGGCGGACGGGUGAGUAACACGUGGAUAACCUACCUAUAAGACUGGGAUAACUUCGGGAAACCGGAGCUAAUACCGGAUAAUAUAUUGAACCGCAUGGUUCAAUAGUGAAAGACGGUUUUGCUGUCACUUAUAGAUGGAUCCGCGCCGCAUUAGCUAGUUGGUAAGGUAACGGCUUACCAAGGCAACGAUGCGUAGCCGACCUGAGAGGGUGAUCGGCCACACUGGAACUGAGACACGGUCCAGACUCCUACGGGAGGCAGCAGUAGGGAAUCUUCCGCAAUGGGCGAAAGCCUGACGGAGCAACGCCACGUGAGUGAUGAAGGUCUUCGGAUCGUAAAACUCUGUUAUUAGGGAAGAACAAAUGUGUAAGUAACUAUGCACGUCUUGACGGUACCAAAUCAGAAAGCCACGGCUAACUACGUG